CUCAGGGCAUUGAGCACAGACUGAAUGACUCAGUGACGCUUGGAUCAGCUCAGAUCAAAUUCUCAAGCAAACAGAUGGCUGGGGAUAUUCAGUAACAACGGUGAGGAGAGAGAGGAACAAUUCACAUUCGAAGUGACCCUUCCUCAGAAACGGUCUGUUCUGAAGGAACUUUCCCGCAGAAAUCACUGGAUUGAAAGCUUCUGGCAACAAAUGGCCACAAACCGAUCAAAGGUGAAAGUGACGGUGAACCAGACAGAGCAGUCAGUGGCUGCAUAAAGCAGGACGGCGUGGAUAUUACACACGGGGACGGAGUCCAUCAGGAAAUAAAACUGUUCCCCAUAAACAAUGGGAAUGUGUCUCAGGAUCAGGUCGAGGAUAAUGACCAGGAGAUCCGCCACUGCCAUGGCCCCCAGGAUUUAAAAACAGCACCAAGAGAAAAUCCACAAAGAGUAGCUGCCAGGAGACAUUCACUAAAGUUUUCAACUCGGUGGAGACCCCAAUAAUUUCUGAUGUUACUGAGAAACCAAAUCCCAGAAAUCCUAAUCUGUGAGAGCUGACCAUACCCAUUCCAUCUGCAUUAAAAUAAACCUAAGGCCUCACUAGUUGUUUACUCAAGUGGUCUUAACUAUCCAGCUUGGUAACGGUCAUUCAAUCUCUCUCGUAAAAGAAACCAGAACAAAAUAUCCUCUUAAAGCUACUGCAUCAUCACACUCAUCAGCACAUCGAGCUGUCAUACAGGAACCAGGGGUAACCCAAUCAGGCCCUUGGCCCUGUCCAAACGGACGAGGAAGAAGCCAGUCAGUCACUUGAGUCAAUUAUACGGGACCAGGAGGAGGCCAUUCCCACCUCAAUGCACUUACGCAGGGGUAGAAUGAGGUAAUUGAUGCUGAUUCCUGAUGAAUGUCUUAUGCCCAAAACUUCGAUUCCCCUACAGUGCUUUUCCAGCAAACCACUGUCUACUCUGAUCUUCAGCAUCAACAGUGCUCGCUGUCUCCUAAUUGAUGCUCUACCAUGAUGAACAAAUGGAGCAGAGGCUGCACAGACAGACUGCGCCACGUUGUUCCUCGUAGCUCCGUCUGUCAUGAUACACACGUGGGACUUUAACGUGGUUUCCUCGCGGUGAGGAGGGAAGCCAUAUGUCUUGUGUGAAGUCACAAGAAGGCACCUUCCAUCUCCGAGAAGCCAGCCUUGUGUUCUCUAAGUAGGACGGAAGCUGGUGGGAAUGGCUACCUGUUUCAGAUGGAAGGUAUUGUGGCUGCUGUUGGGGAUUGUGAGUAACCUGAUGUUCAGUACGGGUUCACACACCGACUGCACAAUAACGUGGGGAGAGUUAAUUUAGGUGUAUAAACUAUUAGGAAAGCCACGUUAGACUGAUGGAUGGACUCUCACCAAGUUCAAAUAGUGCUGAUUUUGUCCAUGUUAAUCUUGUCUAGUGCACGUCCUGUUCAGUGUAACCUGUAAUGCCUUACUCUGUCCAAGUCUAUUUCCACCCUACGAUCUGCAUGGACAUGUUUACUAUGAUCUGCCUCCACUGCUCAUAAAUAAAGCGUUCCCUGUUCUGAGAUACACAUGACAAUAAAUCAAACCAAUCAA